rnacentral:rRNA from 1 species
UACGUGAGGGGCGAACGUUGUUCGGUGUCACUGGGCUUAAAGGGCGCGUAGGUGGUUGCGUAAGUAACGUGUGAAAUCCCUCGGCUUACCCGGGGAAUUGCAUGUUAUACUGCGUGACUUGAGGAUCAGAGGGGAAUGGGGAACUCCAGGUGUAGCGGUGAAAUGCGCAGAUAUCUGGGGGAAGGCCGGCGGCGAAGGCGCCAUUCUGGCUGAUUCCUGACACUGAGGCGCGAAAGCGUGGGGAGCAAACAGG